rnacentral:rRNA from 1 species
AGCGAACGCUGGCGGCAGGCCUAAUACAUGCAAGUCGAACGGUCUCUUCGGAGGCAGUGGCGGACGGGUGAGUAACGCGUGGGAACGUGCCCUUUGGUACGGAACAACUGAGGGGAAACUUCAGCUAAUACCGUAUGUGCCCUUCGGGGAAGAUUUAUCGCCAUUGGAGCGGCCCGCGUUGGAUUAGCUAGUUGGUGGGGUAAUGGCCCACCAAGGCGACGAUCCAUAGCUGGUCUGAGAGGAUGAUCAGCCACACUGGGACUGAGACACGGCCCAGACUCCUACGGGAGGCAGCAGUAGGGAAUCUUGCGCAAUGGGCGAAAGCCUGACGCAGCCAUGCCGCGUGAAUGAUGAAGGUCUUAGGAUUGUAAAAUUCUUUCACCGGGGACGAUAAUGACGGUACCCGGAGAAGAAGCCCCGGCUAACUUCGUGCCAGCGGCCGCGGUAAAGUCUGUACU